rnacentral:rRNA from 1 species
GAUGAACGCUGGCGGCGUGCCUAAUACAUGCAAGUCGAGCGAACAGACGAGGAGCUUGCUCCUCUGACGUUAGCGGCGGACGGGUGAGUAACACGUGGAUAACCUACCUAUAAGACUGGGAUAACUUCGGGAAACCGGAGCUAAUACCGGAUAACAUGUUGAACCGCAUGGUUCAACAGUGAAAGACGGUCUUGCUGUCGCUUAUAGAUGGAUCCGCGCCGCAUUAGCUAGUUGGUAAGGUAACGGCUUACCAAGGCAACGAUGCGUAGCCGACCUGAGAGGGUGAUCGGCCACACUGGGACUGAGACACGGUCCAGACUCCUACGGGAGGCAGCAGUAGGGAAUCUUCCGCAAUGGGCGAAAGCCUGACGGAGCAACGCCGCGUGGGUGAAGAAGGUCUUCGGAUCGUAAAACUCUGUUAUUAGGGAAGAACAAAUGUGUAAGUAACUAUGCACGUCUUGACGGUACCUAAUCAGAAAGCCACGGCUAACUACGUG